GGCAAUUUGCAUCUACUUGGAGCGCACCGGAGGUCAGGUGGACAGAUUUGAAGAUUUCUCUCAAUAGUUCUGCUCUCUAUGGAUCCACAUGGAGCCAUUCAGAACAUGGCGAGAGAUAGGAACUCAGCUUCCUUUUUUUGGGUGGAACCACGAGACCUCUCCAAUUUUCAACCUCAUUCUCAUCCAUCUUUUUGUGGGCAGCAGUGUCAGACUCAUCACUGGGGACAGAUGACGAGAAAUGAAGCGGUCAACACGAAGAGGCAGGCUCUCGUGCUUGAAAAGCCCAUUUUUUAUGAGGUUGAACUCUGCUUCAACAGCAGCGGAACUUGCAGUGAUGCUGGUGCUUUGGAAGAGAGGGACCAUUAUUCCUGUCCAAAGUGCCUUGGCAAGUGACCUGCUCUCCUCACAUAUUUCUGUCACCCACUGUCUGGCAUCUGUCUGGAUCUGAUGACUAUGCGCAUCCAGUGGUUCUUGUCCCACAACCUCUUCAACUUGGGAGCUGACAAGUUCUUCAGCAAUUUGAGAUUUCAGGCAGUCCCACCGGCAGAUCAUCUUGAUGCAGUGUGCAACAUCUACCCUGACAAAACAUGGGGGCAGCUUUGCUUUGCAGGUUGAUUGCCAAGCAAUACUUUAAAGCAUUCAUUGAUGUGCUCCAGCAUGAAUCCAUUCCUUUAGCCAUUGUGUGAUCGCACAAACAUCAUGCUUCUCUGACAGCAUCUGCACCACUGGUACACUAGAGCUGUCAUGCCCUGUCAUAACACCUUGAUAAAGGAAGAUGUGGCCAGAAGAGCCAUUCGGUCUCAACAAUUUUUUAACUACUGAGCCAGUAGCAUCAAAACAUACUGUUGGGGUGGCCAAAUUUGGUAGAUGACUCGGCUCAGGAUCUCCAAAGUUCAUCAGUUUCUCUGCCUGUGAUGCCCGCCAUACAUGCGGUUCCAUCCUGCCCUCCACAAGUUCUGUGGCAAGCUGGGAACGCAACUGCCCAGACAUGAACCGCUUUGAGUUGCCAGUGUGCAGGGAGUCAUCACUGUUCUUAAUGUAACAGUUGAGCAUCAUUGGACUGUUGAUUUUGGGCUCUCUGUCACAAUUGAGGUUGAGAAGACCAUGACACUCCUUGCAGUAUCCUCUGAUGUCAAUAUAAUUAUUUGUUGCCAUAGGAUACACCUUAGCUCUUUUAAAAAUAAAGGUGCAAGGACUUUUUACUGCUUUCCAGAUUUGUUCAUUUAUAAUGUGGGUCCAGGUGCCAGGCUUCAAAAUUGUAUAUUUUCUUUUUUGGGUUUGACAGUACUUAUUUCUGUAUACAGCCUCUUCUGGAAUAAAUUUCCUCCACUCAUCAAAAGGCACUUGAAGCUGAAAUGACCGUUCAGGGUAAAUGUCAUCCAAUUCAGAGCUUGUGUCGUCAUCACUUGUUUCAGGAUCAGUUUCAUGAUGACUGAAUCCCAAAGCUGACAAGAUGUUGUGUCUGUCUGUUUUAACAAAGGUGUAAAGAGCCUUUGCCGACAUUUUCCCGCCCAGCUCCUUACUAAGUUCCGUCCAAACAGUGGCAUUUGGAGUGGCUAUGUUGCCAGUUUGAAGUAUGGCCUCCUUGAAUGAGCAGAGAACUGCAAAAAUUGAGUCCCUGUCUACUGCUGGUUGUUCGGGCAUCUAGUUUAAGGACAAAAGAAAAUAAUUAGGAUUCAUUGCUUCAGU